UUUCACUGCUGACGUUGGAGUGUGCAUGAUCAAGCCUUGACAUGAUUUAUUUUCUAUUUUAUCAGCCCCUCUGAGCCUGCUUCAAAGCCACUCCCCCAGAUGUGUUUCCUGUGUCUCCUCUGAGCCCUCAGUGCCAAAAUUUGACAUCAUCACUCCAGGCAGCCUGAGGAUCAUCAGAGACUUUGAACACUUGCUGAAAGGAGGCAAAAAGCCAAGUGGCAGGAUAUCUGCUGAGAAAGCUGAGAAGAUGACAGUCUCGCAGGAGAAGAGGGAAGGCAGCAGGGCUCAUUUGCACAGCUCUGAAUGAUUAACUAUGAAAAUUCUUAAGUCAAAGAAGAUUCCAGGUUGUGCAGCCCCUCCUGUGCUGUGUUGGAUCCGUGGCUGUGGAGGUUCUAACAAAGAAAAGAGAAAAUGAUACUCCUUUUCUAAUUAAAGAAGUAAUUUUCCUUUGCAAAUAGACUUUUUAUCUCAGCUGCAGUGUUAAGGAUCAAUGGGUUGUCACAUGUAUGUCUUUUUAAUAAAUGUCAGCUGAGAUGACAUUAAAGUGAUAGACUGAUCACUGUAAUCAAUGCAAUUCAAAAUUGCUUUAUGUCUUAAAUGAACUCGGUUCCUUCCCGUGAUUCUCCUACAGUUAUCAUUGUCUGAGCAGUGAAGUACAAGGUUACAUCUCAGUUUGGAGUAAAACUGAGCACGGUAUGGGAUUCACAUUUUUACAUGCAGGUUUUGCAGUUUAACCCCUGGGUUCCUGCAAUUCAGGGGACCUUGCUAGAGAGUCUUUCUGAAAAGGGAAAAAAAAAAAAAAAGAAAAAAAAAAAAAAAGAGAGAGAGAGAGAGAAAGAGAGAGAGGGAGAGAGAAGAAACAACGAAAGUAGAAGGGAAUAUUGUGGCAUUUCCCCUUUCAUCCCCUGCACUGCCAUCUCCAUAAACGAGUGAGGCCAAGGCUCACUGAGAUUUUUCUUUUCCCUGUCUUGGUUGAGCCUGGCCACUCCAAACCCAGCAUGGCUGAGCUCAGGCACACUCAGAGCUGCAGUCUGAGCAGGGUUCCACUGCAGAGCAGUGCCUGCGUGUGCCUCUGCUGUGCUCUGCCUGUGCUGCCACACCUGGGCUCAUCCCUGCUCUUUGUGGUGCUCCUCAUCCCCAGCUCCCAGAGAAUCCAGGGCUGGAGCAGCUGGAGAUGGCAGAGGAGAGCAAACCCCAGGGAACAGCCUGAUUCCCAACCCAAGGAAUCCUUCCCUACUAUUAUUCUCACAGCCUAAUCAGUGUCUUUAAAAUCUGUUUAUGCAGAACACUUCAAAACUCUUUUCUUGUUCUGGAUUUAUUUUUUCAAACCCCCAGAGGUUCUGUAAAAACUCUCAGAAUCCUUGUAAACCUUUUUAUUUCUCUUAAAGCUGGCAGACUGACAGGCUUUAGUUAUGCUUAGUGUUAAAUUAUUUAUCUUCCUUUUCCCUCCUAGCCCUGACUUCUGAAUCUUUAACUUGACUCUUGGGACAUGUGGGGUGGGUUUUUUGGUGGGUUAGUUUUUUUUCCCCUACUUUAAAGUGAAGCCAUUUUUAUCUUUUGUCUGUUGUGUUUUACCAUAAAAAAUGUACAUGUAAAAUUUGAAUGUGUAAGUAUGUUUAAGAUGUGGUAUCUGAUUUUUUGUAAUUGUAAUAUGAAGUGUAAUAAGAUAAGUAGGACAUAUAAACCAUUUUAUGUUUACUUGUGUAUGAUUCUUACCACCUGCAUUUAAUAGUGAAUCUCAAAUUGAUUUAUUGUUUUUUUAAAUGCCAUUCUUACACAAUAUCAUAUUCUAUAUAAAACAAUCCUGAGGCUCUCCUUUCUAGAAUCAAAUUCUUUCAAA